rnacentral:rRNA from 1 species
GACGAACGCUGGCGGCGUGCUUAACACAUGCAAGUCGAGCGGUAAGGCCCUUUCGGGGGUACACGAGCGGCGAACGGGUGAGUAACACGUGGGUGACCUGCCCUCAGCUCUGGGAUAAGCCUGGGAAACCGGGUCUAAUACCGGAUAUGACUCCAUGACGCAUGUUGUGGGGUGGAAAGCCUUGUGCGGCUGAGGAUGGGCCCGCGGCCUAUCAGCUUGUUGGUGGGGUGAUGGCCACCAAGGCGACGACGGGUAGCCGGCCCUGAGAGGGCGACCGGCCACACUGGGACUGAGACACGGCCCAGACUCCUACGGGAGGCAGCAGUGGGGAAGUCUUGCGCAAUGGGCGAAAGCCUGACGCAGCGACGCCGCGUGAGGGAUGACGGCCU